rnacentral:lncRNA from 1 species
ACAUGCUGCUAGGCGUCACUGGUGGAUUGUGAGACUCAUGAGAAUUAUCUAGAUGAUCAAUAAUUCUCAUUGGGCUGAGUUGGAAUUGUUUCGAUCCACUGAAAGGAGUUUCAGUGAUAUUGUUGAUAGUGAUCAAAAUAUAUCUCACUACCAGAUAUAAUAGAACCUAUGGGGUCACACACAUAAGAGGUUGUGAUUGAUCGGAUAGCUAGAUCGCAAUUAUUGAAUCGUCGGAGGACCUAAUUGUCAAUAUGUUGAUAAU